GAAUAUUCUGCAACGCAUUCGUGUCGUUUACUUGUGAACUCGUCUUGUCUAAAAAGUUUUCUAUUCUGUGAAAAUUUGUUUUUCUAUAAUAAAAAGCACAGUAAAUUACUUAAAUAGUGUGAAAAAGGGUGUUUUAAUAUUAACUGAACGGUGUGGUGUGCUACUCCUAAAUCACCAAAAUGAGUUACAUGCCAGCGCAAAACCGUACAAUGUCGCAUAACAAUCAGUACAAUCCUCCGGAUCUACCACCGAUGGUCUCGUCCAAAGAGCAAACGUUAAUGUGGCAACAAAAUUCAUAUCUCGGCGAUUCUGGUAUUCAUUCCGGUGCGGUCACUCAAGUGCCAUCGUUGUCGGGCAAAGAGGAUGAAGAAAUGGAGGGCGACCCACUUAUGUUCGAUUUGGAUACUGGUUUUCCACAAAAUUUCACCCAAGAUCAAGUGGAUGAUAUGAAUCAGCAAUUGAGUCAGACACGUUCACAGCGUGUACGCGCCGCAAUGUUCCCCGAGACUUUGGAGGAAGGCAUUGAGAUACCAUCGACUCAAUUCGAUCCACAACAACCCACAGCUGUGCAGCGUUUAUCAGAACCAUCACAAAUGUUAAAACAUGCUGUCGUAAAUCUUAUCAACUAUCAAGAUGAUGCUGAGUUGGCCACACGUGCCAUACCGGAAUUGAUUAAGUUGUUGAAUGAUGAAGAUCAAGUGGUGGUUUCGCAAGCCGCCAUGAUGGUACAUCAGUUGUCGAAGAAGGAGGCUUCUCGCCAUGCCAUCAUGAAUAGUCCACAAAUGGUGGCUGCACUUGUACGCGCCAUUUCGAAUAGCAACGAUUUGGAGAGUACCAAGGCCGCUGUGGGCACUCUACAUAAUUUAUCACACCAUCGCCAAGGCUUGUUGGCCAUCUUCAAAAGUGGCGGUAUUCCAGCUUUGGUCAAAUUACUCUCCUCACCCGUUGAGAGUGUGCUCUUCUACGCUAUUACCACAUUGCAUAAUUUGUUAUUACAUCAAGAUGGUUCGAAAAUGGCCGUGCGUUUGGCUGGUGGCCUACAGAAGAUGGUCACCCUGUUGCAGCGCAAUAAUGUCAAAUUUCUAGCUAUCGUCACUGACUGCUUACAGAUUUUAGCCUAUGGCAAUCAAGAGAGUAAAUUAAUCAUAUUGGCUUCGGGCGGACCGAAUGAAUUGGUACGAAUAAUGCGUUCGUACGAUUAUGAGAAGUUACUCUGGACUACUUCACGUGUGUUGAAGGUGCUUUCGGUAUGCUCUAGCAAUAAGCCAGCUAUUGUUGAUGCUGGUGGCAUGCAGGCUUUGGCUAUGCAUUUGGCAAAUCCAUCGCCACGUUUGGUACAGAACUGUUUGUGGACAUUGCGUAAUCUUUCAGACGCUGCCACCAAGGUUGAUGGUCUCGAACCACUCUUGCAAUCCUUGGUACAGGUAUUGGCCUCAACUGAUGUUAAUGUUGUAACCUGUGCCGCUGGCAUACUUUCGAAUUUAACUUGCAAUAAUCAACGCAACAAAGCUAUUGUUUGUCAAGUUGGUGGCGUCGAUGCGCUCGUACGUACCAUUAUAAAUGCCGGUGAUCGCGAAGAGAUCACCGAACCAGCUGUUUGCGCUUUGCGUCAUUUAACUUCGCGUCACGUUGACUCUGAGUCGGCACAGAAUGCUGUGCGUCUUAAUUACGGCUUGUCGGUGAUUGUGAAACUUUUGCACCCUCCAUCACGUUGGCCGUUAAUCAAGGCCGUUAUUGGUUUGAUACGCAAUUUGGCCUUAUGCUCGGCCAAUCAUGCACCAUUACGCGAACAUGGUGCUAUACAUAAUUUGGUGCGUUUGCUUAUGCGCGCAUUCCAAGACACCGAACGUCAACGUUCGUCUGUGGCCACUACGGGCUCUCAACAACCAUCCGCCUACGCUGACGGCGUACGCAUGGAGGAAAUUGUCGAAGGUACUGUUGGGGCUCUACACAUAUUAGCACGCGAAUCGCAUAAUCGCGCUUUGAUACGCCAACAAUCAGUUAUACCGAUAUUUGUGCGUCUACUCUUCAACGAGAUUGAAAACAUACAGCGCGUUGCCGCCGGCGUACUUUGCGAGCUGGCUGCCGAUAAAGAAGGCGCCGAAAUGAUCGAACAAGAAGGCGCCACUGGACCGCUUACUGAUCUAUUGCAUUCGCGCAAUGAGGGUGUUGCCACCUAUGCUGCAGCUGUAUUAUUCCGCAUGAGCGAGGACAAACCGCAAGAUUACAAAAAGCGUCUUUCUAUUGAAUUAACCAAUUCAUUGUUGCGAGAAGACAACAAUAUGUGGGGAAAUGCCGAUUUAGGCAUGGGUCCGGAUCUACAGGAUAUGCUUGGACCCGAACAAGCAUAUGAAGGUUUAUAUGGGCAAGGCCCGCCGAGUGUACACAGCUCACAUGGAGGUCGAGCAUUCCAACAAGUUAAGCCAGCCUAACAUAUAUCAUCACUAAAAGUUAAUACGAUCUCUGAACGAUAAACGAAUUUAUUAAGUCUUAAAAAAUACACACAUAAAAAAAAAACAGAAAGAAAGUAAUAAAUAAAGAUUUAAAGCGAAAAAUUUUAGUCAAGAAAUCCACACAAAAGAAUAUGCUAAGUAUAAUUUAUGAAAUCGUAUACAUGUAUACAUUAAAAUUAUUACUCAAAGUAUUCAUAGACAUUAAGACUUACAUACAUACAUACAUGUUUUGCAUUACGAGCAAACGUCAUACAUAUUGAAGUAAAGAAAAAAGAAAAUCAAAAUAAAAUCUGAAAAUAUGAAAACAUCAAUCGAAGCGUUCCCAAAUCUAAGCAGAAAAAAAAAACAUUAGAGAAAAGCAAUAACCACCAGCCAGUUCUACAAACAGCCAGCCAGCUUAGGAGAUAUGGCACACGCUUUGCGUCGCGUGCAAACAAUGACAAUUUCUCUUAAUAGGAUAUGAUACUCUACCAAUAGAUUCAAUGCAAGGCUUGGAGAUUAGCAGCCCAGUUGGUGGUGGUGGUGGCGGUGCUAACAGCGUACCACCAAGCGGUGCACCAACGUCACCAUAUUCAAUGGAUAUGGAUGUAGGUGAGAUCGACGCUGGAGCUUUGAACUUUGAUUUGGAUGCAAUGCCGACACCGCCAAAUGACAACAACAACUUGGCCGCUUGGUAUGACACCGACUGUUAGACGAUGAGCGUGUGGUGGGUGUAGGUGAAAAGUGACAGAAAAAAACAAAUUAAAAUAUUAAUAAUAAUGAAAACAAUGAUAAACAAAUCAUUACGCGAUCGAGCAAAAAACAAAAAAAAAAAAAGUCUUAAAAUUGAUCGCAAUUGAUUUCUUUGAAAGCAACAUGAAAAAAUCAAAAUAUUUUGUGUUCUUAUUUGAUUAUGAUUGAGUUUGUAAUUUUUAUUAUUUACUAAAUCUAGUAUUAAGUAUCUGCUUCCAUUCGCGGAAUAUGCUUAUAUUAUUCCUUUUACAAACAUACAUACAUACAUGCAUACACUAUUUAAAUUUUUUAAAUACAUAUUACAUUUUUAUUAAAACACACAUUUUUUGGUAUCUUAAACAAAAACAGUAUUUUCAUUUGAAACCAACAACAAACUGUUUAUUAAAUCUCGAUCAAAAGUAAGAAGAAAAUUUAUACACAAGCGCAUUUAUAAAACUACAGCUAUUUAAUGGAAAAUUCAUAUGCAUCGAAGCAUUAAAUCUGAAAACGAAAUAAAAAAACAAUUACAUAAAAAUUAAAUGAGAGAUUACUCAAAUUACAAAUUAAAAAAAAAAAUAUAUAUACAAAAUUUAAAAGAAGCAAACAGUAUAAAUUUGCAUACCGACAUAAAGGUUAAAUAAAUAUUCAUAGUCUCAUUUUACCACACACACAAGUGAGGAGCGGGAGACGUAUUGUUAAGCAUUUUUUUUAAAGGAAACGAAGUUAAAUUAAUAGAAAUGGCUAUUUCUGUAGCUCACAAGUUCUUUUGAGAAUAAACAGAAAACAAAUCAUAAAACUGGCUUACAAAUUACAAUACACAUCUGCAGAGAUAAUACAUAACGUGGCAUUACUUUCACGCAAACAAACACAUCAUUAUUAUGUAUGUAUAAUAAGUGCAUGAAUAAACGCGAUUUGAAUAAAUGUGUGAAAGUUUUCACAUUUUACGGAAUUA